rnacentral:rRNA from 1 species
UACAGAGGGCGCGAGCGUUGUCCGGAAUCACUGGGCGUAAAGGGCGCGUAGGCGGCCAACUAAGUCGGAUGUGAAAUCCCCAGGCUUAACCUGGGAACUGCAUCCGAUACUGGAUGGCUUGAAUCCGGGAGAGGGAUGCAGAAUUCCAGGUGUAGCGGUGAAAUGCGUAGAUAUCUGGAGGAAUACCGGUGGCGAAGGCGGCAUCCUGGACCGGCAUUGACGCUGAGGAGCGAAAGCUAGGGGAGCAAACGGG